rnacentral:sRNA from 1 species
GAUAACGAUACGUUGCUAGCCCUGCCUCUCAAGCAACCAUGCGGCUCCAAAGACCGCGCCUGUUUUGAAUCAAUAUCUAUAACAACCG